rnacentral:rRNA from 1 species
AGAGUUGAUCCUGGCUCAGAACGAACGCUGGCGGCGCGUUUAAGCAUGCAAGUCGAGCGGCAAGGGCCUUCGGGCCCCUAGAGCGGCGGACGGGUGAGUAACACGUGGACAAUCUGCCCCCCGGCCCGGGAUAGCCCAGGGAAACCUGGAUUAAUACCGGAUGAGACGGGACCCGCGAUGGCGGGACCCGGGAAAGGCGCUGCGGCGCCGCCGGGGGAUGAGUCUGCGUCCCAUUAGCUAGACGGCGGGGUAACGGCCCACCGUGGCGACGAUGGGUAGCCGGCCUGAGAGGGUGGACGGCCACAUUGGAACUGAGACACGGUCCAGACUCCUACGGGAGGCAGCAGCUAAGAAUCUUCCGCAAUGGGCGAAAGCCUGACGGAGCCGACGCCGCGUGAACGAAGAAGGCCGUGAGGUUGUAAAGUUCUUUUCGGGAGGGGGAACAACCGUGGCAGGGAAUGGCCGCGGGAUGACGUGAAUCCCGGAAUAAGCCCCGGCUAACUACGUGCCAGCCGCUGC